UACAGAGGGUGCAAGCGUUAUUCGGAAUCACUGGGCGUAAAGAGUUCGUAGGCGGAAUGUUAAGUCUGAUGUGAAAGCCCUGGGCUCAAUCCAGGAAGUGCAUUGGAUACUGACAAACUAGAGUAUGGGAGAGGAGAGUGGAAUUCCAGGUGUAGAGGUGAAAUUCGUAGAUAUCUGGAGGAACAACGGAAGCGAAGGCGACUCUCUGGACCAUUACUGACGCUGAGGAACGAAAGCGUGGGGAGCAAACAGG
rnacentral:rRNA from 1 species